rnacentral:lncRNA from 1 species
UUUUUAUUGGUAUUAGGAAGGAGGGGGCUUUCAUGGUUUUUAGAUGUGGGACCAAAGAAAAAGGAUAGGUACGAGAUCUUCUAAUCCUUCACCAAUCUCUUCUUCCAUGUCUAGCCACCCCCCGUACGUACUUGCCAAAAUCAAUCCUGGUGCGAAGACCCGCGUGACUGCCCAGCAUCCCAUCUACGCUCGCAUUUUGCAUCCAUUCAUGUACGUUUGGAUGCAUACUCCCACUUGGAUCAAACCCGCUCAGACCCUCG